rnacentral:rRNA from 1 species
UACGAAGGGGGCUAGCGUUGCUCGGAAUCACUGGGCGUAAAGGGUGCGUAGGCGGGUUCUUAAGUCAGAGGUGAAAUCCUGGAACUCAACUCCAGAACUGCCUUUGAUACUGAGAGUCUUGAGUAUGACAGAGGUGAGUGGAACUGCGAGUGUAGAGGUGAAAUUCGUAGAUAUUCGCAAGAACACCAGUGGCGAAGGCGGCUCACUGGGUCAUUACUGACGCUGAGGCACGAAAGCGUGGGGAGCAAACAGG